UUCUUUCCUGAAUCAAGGACAAUGCCAGGCUUUUGGGCGUGGAGGCCCUCUCUACAUGAAUUCCCAUAUGAGGCUCUUCUAUUUCAACAGCCUCCAAAUUGGAAUGUAUUUUGAAGCCCCCCAUACAGCCCCCUGUUGUCAUUGACCCUAAAUCUGCAGGCACAGGAAAUUGGUCCACACCCUGCUCUGUACGGCUGCCCUGCCCCCAGCAGGAAGUGGCUGGCUCAGGAGGUGGUGUCUCAGAUUCCAAGGCAGAAGUCACUGAGAAGUUGUUCAGUGACCAGGGUCAAGGGUUGGCCGUUUCUAAGGCUGAGUGUGGCAGAGGGCACCAGGAGCUUGUCUUGCUGGUGGAGCUGGGGAACCCCAGGACCCGUGCGCCUCAAACCUGGGCCAGGAGUGAGGAGCUGGCCUCCCCUAGGCUGAACUUGACUCACAGACCGGUUUGGUGUGGGCCAUCCAGUUGAAAGGAGUUGUCAAUGUUUAAUAUUUGCUAGGCUUCACAGAAAAUUUAAACUUGGAAUAUUUUUCUGAAAAUGUGGAUGAUCAGGACCAAGUUAUUCUCCCGUAAGGCCACAGUCUGCUGGAGGGAAUGACAUCUCCAGCCAGCUCUUCUCCAGAGAACCCUGUUUCCUCUCUCCUGCUUACUCUUCAAGACUUCCCUUUGAUGUCACCUGGUCUGUGAGACAGCCUUUCCUGGGACCCCCCCACGGAGAGAGAACCCACUCAUAAGACUCCAAAAUGCCAAGGCGCCCAGCUUCUCAUGCCCACCUCUGAGCUGUGAGGCAGAGGCCUGUUUAUUUUGGGUUGAUGAGUAAAUCAUGUGGAACAGAAUCAAAAGCUCUGCUGAAGUCAACACAGAUGACAUCUGUCACUUCCUCUUAAUCCAUCAGUCAGGGGGAGAGGGCAUUGGAUUAAUUAGACAGGCUCUUUCAAACGUUUGCCAGCAAUGACUCCAUGCCCUCUUUCUCUCAUGCACUGGUGAAGGAAAACAAUGAAUUUUCACCCUAUUGUUUAUCUUAGAAGGGUCAGGUUUUGAGGUCAAACAUCAGUGUAAAAUUUUGUCUUAAAAAAUGCACAUGCAUUCUAACUGCUAAUAGCUCAUAUGCCCAUCUUUGAAAUCAAAGUUCUUGUUUCUUUACGAAUGUGCCCACUGCAAGGAUAUCAAAGCAUUGGCAGACAUUAAGUCAGUGGCUUUGCCUAAGCCAGGCUUUCUCUCAUUGAAAAGGGAGGGAUCUAUUUGGGGAGAGAGUCUCUGGGGGCCGUGAUUUAUCCAGUUUGAUUACAUGGAACACUGGUCUCUGUUUAUUUGCUGCAACAUGGCAUCUGCCUUGGGAGGAGAUGCUCCACAGUCGACUAGAGCCUCUGCCAGCUGUGGCCACUUGUCUUCAGGCUGCACCUGUGUGAGUCC
rnacentral:lncRNA from 1 species